rnacentral:rRNA from 1 species
UACGUAGGGUGCAAGCGUUUUCCGGAAUUAUUGGGCGUAAAGAGCUCGUAGGCGGUCUGUCGCGUCGGCUGUGAAAUCCCGAGGCUCAACCUCGGGUCUGCAGUCGAUACGGGCAAACUAGAGUAUUGCAGGGGAGACUGGAAUUCCUGGUGUAGCGGUGAAAUGCGCAGAUAUCAGGAGGAACACCGGUGGCGAAGGCGGGUCUCUGGGCAAUAACUGACGCUGAGGAGCGAAAGCGCGGGGAGCGAACAGG